CACGCCCUAAACGAUGUAUGCUUGGUGUUGGUUUAAUAAUCAGUGCCGUAGGAAAUCUGUUAAGCAUACCACCUGGGGAGUACGAUCGCAAGUUUGAAACUCAAAGGAAUUGACGGGGGCCCGCACAAGCGGUGGAUUAUGUGGUUUAAUUCGAUGCAACGCGAAGAACCUUACCAGGGUUUGAAUAGUAAAGGAAUGGUGCAGAAAUGUAUCAGUUUUCGGACCUUUAUAUAGGUGC
rnacentral:rRNA from 1 species